rnacentral:rRNA from 1 species
UACGUAGGGUGCAAGCGUUAAUCGGAAUUACUGGGCGUAAAGCGUGCGCAGGCGGCGCGUUAAGACAGGUGUGAAAGCCCCGAGCUUAACUUGGGAAUUGCGCUUGUGACUGGCGUGCUGGAGUGUGGCAGAGGGAGGUGGAAUUCCACGUGUAGCAGUGAAAUGCGUAGAGAUGUGGAGGAACACCGAUGGCGAAGGCAGCCUCCUGGGCCAGCACUGACGCUCAUGCACGAAAGCGUGGGGAGCAAACGGG